rnacentral:tRNA from 1 species
CGGGGCGUAGCGCAGUCCGGCUUAGCGCGCCUGCUUUGGGAGCAGGAGGUCGAGAGUUCGAAUCUCUCCGCCCCGACGA